ACUCCUACGGGAGGCAGCAGUAGGGAAUCUUCCACAAUGGGCGCAAGCCUGAUGGAGCAACACCGCGUGAGUGAAGAAGGGUUUCGGCUCGUAAAGCUCUGUUGUUAAAGAAGAACACGUAUGAGAGUAACUGUUCAUACGUUGACGGUAUUUAACCAGAAAAGUCACGGCUAACUACGUGCCAGCAGCCGCGGUAAUACGUAGGUGGCAAGCGUUAUCCGGAUUUAUUGGGGCGUAAAGAGAGUGCAGGCGGUUUUCUAAGUCUGAUGUGAAAGCCUUCGGCUUAACCGGAGAAGUGCAUCGGAAACUGGAAUAACUUGAGUGCAGAAGAGGGUAGUGGAACGUCCA
rnacentral:rRNA from 1 species